UAGGGAGUGGAUCCACGGUAGUGAC
rnacentral:piRNA from 1 species